UACGUAGGGGGCAAGCGUUGUCCGGAAUUAUUGGGCGUAAAGAGCUUGUAGGCGGUUUGUCGCGUCUGCUGUGAAAAUCCGGGGCUCAACCCCGGACUUGCAGUGGGUACGGGCAGACUAGAGUGUGGUAGGGGAGACUGGAAUUCCUGGUGUAGCGGUGAAAUGCGCAGAGAUCAGGAGGAACACCGAUGGCGAAGGCAGGUCUCUGGGCCACUACUGACGCUGAGAAGCGAAAGCAUGGGGAGCGAACAGG
rnacentral:rRNA from 1 species